rnacentral:tRNA from 1 species
GCCCGGAUGGCGGAAUUGGUAGACGCGUUAGGUUCAGGGUCUAAUGGGAGCAAUCCUGUGCAGGUUCGAGUCCUGUUCCGGGCACAA